UUUUGUAGGAAGAUUCUGCUUUCAGAUGUGACCUCAUGCACAGAGUGCAAAGACAGAUCUCACAUAGCAAGAUGGGUUCCAAACUUCUCGAUGAAAGCAAGCAGCCUCUCAGUGAAAACUGACAUUUCAAAAGUUUUCAGACAUCACCUUUGUCCCCAAAGACCAAGAUGGGACAGGAAGAUGUUGCAGGCUUCACUCCUUCAACGGGCAAGAAAGAAUUGGAUAGGCAGAUGAAGGAGGCAUGUUUUGAAAAUCAUGUCCUUGAUGGGAAGCAUAAGUAAAAUGGCUGUUCCUGCAAAGACAAUUAGACAUUUUUA